AUUGAACGCUGGCGGCAUGCCUUACACAUGCAAGUCGAACGGUAACGGGCCUUCGGGUGCCGACGAGUGGCGAACGGGUGAGUAAUACAUCGGAACGUGCCCGAUCGUGGGGGAUAACGAGGCGAAAGCUUUGCUAAUACCGCAUACGGUCUACGGAUGAAAGCAGGGGACCGCAAGGCCUUACGCGGACGGAGCGGCCGAUGGCAGAUUAGGUAGUUGGUGGGAUAAAAGCUUACCAAGCCGACGAUCUGUAGCUGGUCUGAGAGGAUGAUCAGCCACACUGGGACUGAGACACGGCCCAGACUCCUACGGGAGGCAGCAGUGGGGAAUUUUGGACAAUGGGCGCAAGCCUGAUCCAGCCAUGCCGCGUGCAGGAUGAAGGCCUUCGGGUUGUAAACUGCUUUUGUACGGAACGAAAAGCCUUCUUUUAAUACAGGAGGGUCAUGACGGUACCGUAAGAAUAAGCACCGGCUAACUACGUG
rnacentral:rRNA from 1 species